UUCAUAAGUGAGGCAAUUCUAAUCUAAACUACUGUAUUAUAUUUGUAUUGGUAAAUUGAAAGCAUUUUGCAAACCCAGAAGAGGAUAAGUAAGAUAUUAAUCAAGGGGUUAUUUUCAAAAAAUUUUUAUAGAAACAUAUAAAAUUUAGCUUUUGUGGUUAGAGAUUUUUGAUACUCAGUUUGAGCUAUGCCCAACCACAUCUCAUCC